rnacentral:tRNA from 1 species
GGGUAGGUGGUUCAGUGGUAGAAUUCUCACCAUUCAUGCAAAAGACCCAGGUUCAAUUCUUGGCCUAUGCA